rnacentral:rRNA from 1 species
CCUACGGGUGGCAGCAGUGGGGGAUAUUGCACAAUGGAGGGAACUCUGAUGCAGCGACGCCGCGUGAGGGAAGAAGGUUUUCGGAUUGUAAACCUCUGUCUUCGGUGACGAAACGAGACGGUAGACGAGGAGGAAGCCACGGCUAACUACGUGCCAGCAGCCGCGGUAAUACGCAGGUGGGAAGCGUUGUCCGGAAUUACUGGGUGAAAAGGGAGCGUAGGCGGGAAAUAAAGUUGAAUGUUUAAGGUACGGGUUCAACCUGGACAAGCGUUCAAUACUGUUUUGCUUGAGUGGAGUAGAGGUAAGCAGAAUUCCUGGUGUAGCGGUGAAAUGCGUAAAUAUUUGGAGGAACACCAGUGGCGAAGGCGGCUUACUGGGCUUUGACUGACGCUGAGGCUCGAAAGCGUGGGUAGCAAACAGGAUUAGAUACCCGAGUAGUC